UACAGAGGUCUCAAGCGUUGUUCGGAUUCAUUGGGCGUAAAGGGUGCGUAGGCGGCUUGUUAAGUCAGGGGUGAAAUCCUGGAGCUCAACUCCAGAACUGCCUUUGAUACUGGCGAGCUUGAGUCCGGGAGAGGUGAGUGGAACUGCGAGUGUAGAGGUGAAAUUCGUAGAUAUUCGCAAGAACACCAGUGGCGAAGGCGGCUCACUGGCCCGGUACUGACGCUGAGGUGCGAAAGCGUGGGGAGCAAACAGG
rnacentral:rRNA from 1 species